GGGUUGGAGCCUAUCCCAGCAGUCAUAGCGCGUGAGGCGGGAUACACUCUACAGGUCGCCAGUCCGUCACAAAAUUGCCACAUCCAUGUAUAGACA